AGCAGCCGCGGUAAUUCCAGCUCCAAUAGCGUAUAUUAAAGUUGUUGCAGUUAAAAAGCUCGUAGUUGAAUUUCGGGAUCAGUAUGUCGGUCGUGCUUCGGUACGUACUGUCAUUACUGGUUUCUCCCUUCUGACGAACCAUGAUGUCAUUAAUUUGGUGUCUUGGGAAAUCAGGACUGUUACUUUGAAAAAUUAGAGUGUUUAAAGCAGGCAUACGCUUGAAUACAUUAGCAUGGAAUAAUGAAAUAGGACGUUUGAUUCUAUUUUGUUGGUUUCUAGGAUCGACGUAAUGAUUAAUAGGGAUAGUUGGGGGCAUUAGUAUUCAAUUGUCAGAGGUGAAAUUCUUGGAUUUAUUGAAGACUAACUACUGCGAAAGCAUUUGCCAAGGAUGUUUUCAUUAAUCAAGAACGAAAGUUAGGGGAUCGAAGACGAUCAGAUACCGUCGUAGUC
rnacentral:rRNA from 1 species